rnacentral:rRNA from 1 species
UACAGAGGUCCCAAGCGUUGUUCGGAAUCAUUGGGCGUAAAGCGCGCGCAGGCGGAUCAGCAAGUCAGAUGUGAAAUCUCGGAGCUCAACUCCGAAACUGCGUCUGAAACUGCUAGUCUAGAAUGUCGGAGGGGGCAGGGGAAUUUCACGUGUAGGGGUAAAAUCCGUAGAGAUGUGAAGGAACACCGGAGGCGAAGGCGCCUGCCUGGACGACUAUUGACGCUGAGGCGCGAAAGCGUGGGGAGCAAACAGG